UUAAAAUUAGUUAAAUAUUAUAACAUAAGCUUGUCAAGCUUAAAUUACCUUUAAAGGUAUUUUAAU
rnacentral:tRNA from 1 species